rnacentral:rRNA from 1 species
AGAGUUUGAUCCUGGCUCAGGAUGAACGCUAGCGGCAGGCCUAACACAUGCAAGUCGAGGGGUAGAAUGUCUUCGGAUGUUUGAGACCGGCGCACGGGUGCGUAACGCGUAUGCAACCUACCUCUUACUGGGGAAUAGCCCGGAGAAAUUCGGAUUAAUGCCCCAUAUGCUCGUACGACCUCAUGGUCGAGCGAGGAAAGCUCCGGCGGUAAGAGAUGGGCAUGCGUCCUAUUAGCUUGUUGGUGAGGUAACGGCUCACCAAGGCUACGAUAGGUAGGGGGCCUGAGAGGGUGACCCCCCACACUGGUACUGAGACACGGACCAGACUCCUACGGGAGGCAGCAGUGAGGAAUAUUGGGCAAUGGAGGCAACUCUGACCCAGCCAUGCCGCGUGCAGGAAGACUGCCCUAUGGGUUGUAAACUGCUUUUAUACAGGAAGAAACACUCCCUCGUGAGGGAGCUUGACGGUACUGUAAGAAUAAGGAUCGGCUAACUCCGUGCCAGCAGCCGCGGUAAUACGGAGGAUCCAAGCGUUAUCCGGAUUUAUUGGGUUUAAAGGGUCCGUAGGCGGGUCUUUAAGUCAGUGGUGAAAGCCUGCAGCUUAACUGUAGAAUUGCCAUUGAUACUGGAGACCUUGAGUGUAGUAGAAGUAGGCGGAAUAAGGCAUGUAGCGGUGAAAUGCAUAGAUAUGCCUUAGAACACCGAUUGCGAAGGCAGCUUACUAUGUUACAACUGACGCUGAGGGACGAAAGCGUGGGGAGCGAACAGGAUUAGAUACCCUGGUAGUCCACGCCGUAAACGAUGAUUACUCGCUGUUAGCGAUAUACAGUUAGCGGCCAAGCGAAAGCAUUAAGUAAUCCACCUGGGGAGUACGCCGGCAACGGUGAAACUCAAAGGAAUUGACGGGGGCCCGCACAAGCGGUGGAGCAUGUGGUUUA